rnacentral:rRNA from 1 species
GACGAACGCUGGCGGCGUGCUUAACACAUGCAAGUCGAACGCUGAAGCUUGGUGCUUGCACUGGGUGGAUGAGUGGCGAACGGGUGAGUAAUACGUGAGUAACCUGCCCUUGACUCUGGGAUAAGCCUGGGAAACUGGGUCUAAUACUGGAUACGACAUGUCACCGCAUGGUGGUGUGUGGAAAGGGUUUUACUGGUUUUGGAUGGGCUCACGGCCUAUCAGCUUGUUGGUGGGGUAAUGGCUCACCAAGGCGACGACGGGUAGCCGGCCUGAGAGGGUGACCGGCCACACUGGGACUGAGACACGGCCCAGACUCCUACGGGAGGCAGCAGUGGGGAAUAGUGCACAAUGGGCGGAAGCAUGAUGCAGGGACGCCGGGUGAGGGAUGACGGCCUUCGGGUUGUAAACCUCUUCAGCACGGAAGAAGCGAAAGUGACGGUACGUGCAGAAGAAGCGCCGGCUAACUACGUG